rnacentral:rRNA from 1 species
GUAGCUAACGCGUUAAGCACUCCGCCUGGGGACUACGGUCGCAAGACUAAAACUCAAAGGAAUUGACGGGGACCCGCACAAGCGGUGGAGCAUGUGGUUUAAUUCGAUGCAACGCGAAAAACCUUACCACUUCUUGACAUGGAGGCUAGAUCUUCCUUAACGGGAAGGCGCAGUUCGGCUGGGCCUCGCACAGGUGCUGCAUGGCUGUCGUCAGCUCGUGUCGUGAGAUGUUGGGUUAAGUCCCGCAACGAGCGUAACCCUCAUCCUUAGUUACCAGCGGGUAAUGCCGGGCACUUUAAGGAAACUGCCAGUGAUAAACUGGAGGAAGGUGGGGAUGAUGUCAAGUCAGCACGGCCCUUAUGGGGUGGGCUACACACGUGCUACAAUGGCGACUACAAUAGGUUGCAACGUCGCAAGGCUGAGCUAAUCCGUAAAAGUCGUCUCAGUUCGGAUUGUCCUCUGUAACUCGAGGGCAUGAAGUCGGAAUCGCUAGUAAUCGUGGAUCAGCAUGCCA